CAGUCCCUCUGCCUAACUGUUCUGAACAGCAGUGACUUCACACAUGUCCCAGUGUGGAAGGACAAAUGCCUGCAGAGGAAGACCGGCAGGUACUUUAAACCUGCUUGCCUGAGUUCCAGAUAGAGUUGGUCCCAUUAGUCAUAUUGCUGGAAAUACCAGUGACUGAACCAUGAAUGGCCUACUUCUCAAGCUGCACAUACAAUGUGAAUUCUGAUCCCCAAACUUCCAUGAAGAGGGGUUUAUGGAUUCUUAAGGAGAUCAUCUUUACAUUAAGAAACUAUUUAAGAGGACUGGAAAGAUGGCUCAGCAAUGACUGCCCUUCCAAAGGACCCAGGUUCAAAUUCCAGUACCCACACGGCAGCUCACAACUGUCUAGAAUUCCAAUUUCAGGGGAACCAACCUUAACGUGGACAUACGUGGAGACAGAACACCAAUAUAAAUAAAAAUUUUAAAAAGAAAUGAUUUAAAACAUUAUCCAGUACCAGGAGAAUUCCAUCAAAUGUGUAAUUGGUUAUAUUCUUAGAAACAUAAGAUCUAGUGUGUGGUUCAACAAAAUAUUACACUUACUGAUUUGUUUUGCUCUGUAUAAAAACAGUCUCUGAAAGGAAACUGAAAUUAUGGAUAAACAGUUAAUAUGUAAAGC
ensembl:antisense uncharacterized LOC110290089